CCUCCACCUAGUGUGCCUACCUGAACGUGUUUCUUCGGAACUUCUGAAAAAUCUGGAAAUAGUGAUGCCACAUUGUGAGCUUUAAAGACAACUGAAGUCUUUCCGGUCCCUGAAAAUGGCUACAAUA
ensembl:snoRNA